UCCGUAGGUGAACCUGCGGAGGGAUUAUUA
rnacentral:rRNA from 2 species